rnacentral:rRNA from 1 species
AAGGAUCAAAGUCCUACCUUAAGUUUUUUAAAUCAUUAAAAAUACCCCUUAAACUUAAGAGCUAUUCAAAUAAGGUACAGCCUAUUUGAAACAGGAAACAACCUAAAAAACAGGGUAAUAUUCUGUAGCACGUGUCUAAGUGGGCCUAAAAGCAGCCAACUUUCAAAAAGCGUUAAAGCUUACACACGAGCCCCCUGAAUCCCCAAACCCACCUACAACCCUUAUACAAUACUAAAUAACUCUAUAAAUUUAUAGAAGCUAUAAUGCUAAAACUAGUAACAUGAAGAAGUCCUUCUCCUAAGUGCACACGUAAGCCAAAAAGAACAACUCAUUGGCAUUUAACGCUACUGAAUACAAAGCAACAACUCUUCCAGAAAACCUUGCUAACACUAACGUUAACCUUACACAAGCGCACUCCAGGAAAGAUUAAAAGAGGUAGAAGGAACUCGGCAAACAUUAACCCCGCCUGUUUACCAAAAACAUCGCCUCCUGAAAAUAAUAGGAGGUCCAGCCUGCCCAGUGACCAAGUUAAACGGCCGGGGUACCCUAACCGUGCAAAGGUAGCGUGCGG